rnacentral:misc_RNA from 1 species
GAUGAAGAACGUAGCGAAAUGCGAUACGUAAUGUGAAUUGCAGAAUUCAGUGAAUCAUCGAAUCUUUGAACGCAUACUGCGCUCUCUGGUAUUCCGGAGAGCAUGCUUGUUUGAGUAUCAGUAAACACCUCAACUCCCUUUUCUUUUUUGAAAUUGGAGCUGGACUUGAGUGAUCCCAACGCUUUCUUCCAAGAAAGUGGCGGGUUGCUUGAAAUGCAGGUGCAGCUGAACUUUUCUCUGAGCUAUAAGCAUAUCUAUUUAGUCUGCCUAAAAAACAGAUUAUUACCUUUGCUGCAGCUAACAUAAAGGAGACUAGUUCUUGUGCUGACUGAUGCAGGAUUCACAGAGACAGCUUCGGCUGACUUUGUAAACUCGAUCUCAAAUCAAGUAAGACUACCCGCUGAACUUAAGCAUAUCAAUAAGCGGGGGA